UACGUAGGCAGCGAGCGUUGUUCGGAGUUACUGGGCGUAAAGGGUGUGUAGGCGGUUUGGUAAGUCUGGUGUGAAAUCUCCCGGCUCAACUGGGAGGGUGCGCCGGAAACUGCCGGACUAGAGUGCGGGAGAGGAGAGUGGAAUUCCUGGUGUAGCGGUGAAAUGCGUAGAUAUCAGGAGGAACACCAGCGGCGAAGGCGGCGCUCUGGGCCGGUACUGACACUGAGGAGCGAAAGCGUGGGGAUCAAACAGG
rnacentral:rRNA from 1 species